UAUUCUUGAAUUAACUGUAGCACAAUGCUACUCGCGUGCACGAAAAUAGAGGUCUCUGUUUCACGUGUAUUUAAUCCUUUUCGUGAUAGUGUAAAUUAUUUAUAUUAAUUUUCUUAAUAAUUUUAUUAUUUUAUCACACUGUUUAAAGAUUAAUUUAUUAUAGUUUUAGUAUUCUAUAUUUAAUUAUUUUAUAAUUUUUAAUUUGUUUGUAUUAGUUUUGUAUAGAAUAUAAAGUAUAGAAAUUACGAUGAAUCCAAAAAAUGAUUAAUACACGCUCAAAAUCACGAUCUCUAAUCGAAACCGAGAAUUUUGACUCUUUCGCAGUUCACUUUAAAAAUUCUCUUUUGCUUAAUUCUUUGAUGUCUUUAGUAGUACUUCUAAUUUUAAUCUUAAAACUUUUUUUUUGAAGUAAAUUGCUGUCUUUGAGGUGAUUCAUAUCAUUAAACUUUACAUAAUUUUUAUUGUUAAGGUAAUAAUUAUGAUUUGCAUUAAAAUUCAAAUUUUUGAAACUUUUAUCGUUUUAAUGUAAUAAAUAUGGAGAUUCGUAAAAAUUUAUGCGUGAAAGAGUUGGUAUACCUGCUUCUGCAUGUUAAUUGUACGUUUGUCACAUUGAAUAUCCAUAUUUUCUUUUCUUUUUUUCUUUUUUUACAGUGAUAAAAUUUAUCAUUUAUUGCAAAUGGACCACGGUUCUCCAAGAACUUCUUAAUUUGAAAUUAAUUGAAGACAGAUGUUCUUUCUCUAUUCAUUAUCACGCUGUUCCUCCUUAAUAAACACAUUUUCCUUUAAAAUGCAAUCGCAUUGUUAUUCAGCGAAAGGAGAAAACGUUCGUUUCCGAUUUCUAACCUUAACUCGCUGCGACAGAAAUCCAUCUUCCAUCGUAAUCCAACUCUUGGCUUUCUGCUAAUUGCGUCAACACGGAAGGAACUAACUUUCUGCGACAUUAUCAGACGUUCUGAAGCGAGUUAAAUGGAACGAACUUUAUCUCGUUAACAAAUGCAGAUUAUACAAAUUAUACACAGUCUGAAAAGAUGUUGUAUCUUGAUAAAAGUGAUAAAGAAAAAAGUAAUAUGUAAAUAUAAGAUAUAAAUAUAAUAUUUAUAAGAUAUAUUAUAUUAUCUUUUGACAUAUAAAUAUAAUAUAUAAAAAUAUUAUAAAUGAUAUAAAGACAUGAUAUGACGUUUCUCAAGCAGCAUCGAUUCUUUAUAAAGAAACACGUGUCAAUUUUGAUAAAAUUUAAAUAUGAUGUAAUAUUUAUAUAAAUAUUUGAUAUGUAUUUUUUAUUUUACAUUAUUAUACGUUAAAGGAAUGAUAAAAAUAGUAAUUGCAAUAUUAUUAGUGACAAGAAAUUUUGACAUGGCAAAUAAAUGAUAUUUAUAUUAAAUUGUUUCGAAUUUUUAUAAUAGAUCGAUACAUUGCAAAAUAUUUAUUUAUCCAUAUUUCGAAGGUCGCUACUUUAUCAAUUAUGAAUCUUGAUUAAUCUCAAUAAGUGCGAAAUUAUUUGAAAAUUAUAAGAAAGAUUUCUACUUGAUGACAAGAACGAUCCUUAUUAAUUUUCCAGCAUCAUUUGAAAUUUUCAUUCGAUGAAGUAUUCAUUCAUUAUGUAAUAUAUUUAUUGUGUAAUAUAUUCAUCAUAUAAGUAUUAUAUUGUACAAUUACAGUAGUUACUUGUAGUUAUGCAGCAAAAGUUAUGCACUUUAUGAUCAAAGUUUGAUUAAUCAUCUUUUGAACGAGCCUGUUUAAUAAUUGGGCGUUAUUAUAUCAUCUAUAUGAUUUGUAACGUCAUCUUUCAGGUGAUCAAGUGAAUAGAAUAACGAUACAAUGAUCGACGUUAAUUAAUCAAUGAAUUCAGCCUAUUAAUUCAAAAACUAUUAUGAUCAUCUUUCUGUACAAUCCUCUUGAGUAAGAUUAUAAUAUCUCCGAUUCUAUCUCUAACAAUAAGUUAAUGUUAAUUAAGUUUUCCAGUAAUUUCUCUACUUGAUACGUUAAAAUUAAAAUUAAAUUUGAAGAUUUCUUUCGAGCUUAGGUCAGAUUGAGAAAGGCAAUUAUCAUUUUUUUCAAUUUUUCAAUCUUAAGAUUAUUCUCGUAUGCGAUCUUUUAUCAGAAUGAAAUAUGUCAAUUUUUAUUUUAUUGUUAAUUAAGUUUUCGAAAUUUUUCUCUGUGAUAUUAGAAAUAUGUUGGGACUUCUUCAACUAUUGCUUAAGGAAAACAUAUCCAUCACUUUUCAAUUUUUUAAUUUUAAGAUGUCAGUACGAUCCUCUAGAGUGAAUUAUCUUUUUUCUAGUGUUAAUUAAAUUUUCUUUAUUUAGUAUUUUAAAAUUAGAAGUAGAUUUAAUCUUUGAUUACUUUAUAUAAUUUUUAUUUUUUAGUUUUUAUUUUUUAGAUGUGUGAUACUCUUAUUUUCAUUUUCAUAUAAUAUCGUGAUGGACAUUUUAUAUUUAAUAUUUAAUAUAUUCCUGUAAAAGUACAUAAUUCGUAAUUUAAAAAGGAAUUUAUAUUCUGAAUAUAAAUCGAAUUUUGUAUAAAGAAUAGAAUUGACGAACUAAUUAAAGUAAAUGGGAGUGUUGUGAAAUUAAAAGAUUCAUCUCAAAAUCAAUGGAAUUAAAUGUUUGGUAUUCAUUUAGAAAUCAAAUCUUAUCUUGAAAUAUUUGUUAUUUCAUAUUAUGGGUAGAUAUAUCCACAAAAUCGAAGAAGUGCAACUAAAAUUGCGAGACAGAUGCUAUUUUAGUUCAAUUUCUUCAUAUUUCUAAAAAUAUAAAUUUGCAUAAAUAUUCUUAUCCUAUUCUCUUCACAUUUUAAAUUUAUAUAAUAUAUAUGUAUUAGUAAUUGGAAAGACUAUCUCGUUUUGCUUCAAAGAUAUCUGUUUUGAUUCAAUUUUUUUCAUAUUUUUAAAAAUAUAAUAGAAAUGUAUAUAAACAUCUUUAUUCUACUUUUCUCAUAUUUUAAACUAUAUUAUGUAUAUGAAAUGUUAAAUUUCCAUAUAUUGAAAAAUACUCAUAAUUGGAUAAAUAAUAACUUUACACAUAAUUCAACACAAUUUCUAUUUCGGAUAAAUUUCUGCACAUAAACUUCUUUUUCCAUAUUUCAACUUAUAUUAUCCAUGUACAAUAGAUUAAAUUUCCAUAUUUUCUAAAAAUAUCAAAUAUUCCCUCCUCACAUCACGUAAAACAAACGUAAAACAAGGUUCAAUGUUCCUCUAUAAAUUUCAAAGGAGGAUUUCCUAAAAACGACCGCUGAUAAUCAUCAUGCGAAUAUUCGUGCACGCGAGAACGUUAAUAUUGCGUGUAUAUUAAUGUGCAGGAACCACGAAGUAAACAGUCAACUUAACAACCGGGUGUCUGCAUUGCGGCAUGGAAAACACACAACCGAGUUUGUUGCCUCGUAUCUCAUCGUGUUUCCGCUUGUCUUUGUUUCGUUUCCCGACUUUAUCCGAAACGUAGAGAAUAUCCACGCUCGUAAAUUUUUGGAUGUUCGCUAUGAUGGCGCUGAUUCCAUUCUUCUUACGUUCGUUGCGUCUAUAUGAAAAUAGAAUGCAAAUGGAUUCUCGUAAAUAUAUAUUGUCAUAAAUGUAACUAAUGUAAUUCUUGUAUCUAUUCGCGACUCCUAUCGUUAAAAUAAUGGUGCAAAUGAAGCGUGUGGAAUUUUGACGAUGUUUAUAGUUAAGAAUAGGAACGAGAUUCUGAGAUAUCUUGAGGUUAAGAAGUUUGGAAUUUCUAGUGAUCCGAACAGUUCAGAAAGUUGUAAUAGAAAAUUGGAUAAAUGGAUUAAAUUUGAAUCGAUAAUUUUCUUUUUGAAUAGUUAUAUUCAAGAAGUUUGAUUUUCAAGAAUUGCAAUGGAGAUUUAGAAAAUCUUUUUUCAAAUUUAAAAGUCAUUUUUAUUAAAUCACUGAGGUUAAGUUUUGGGAUUUCUAAACGUACAACUUUAAUUCUUUUGUUGGAAAGUUAAAGAAAAUAAAUUGAGUUUGAAGGUUUGGUUUAGGAUUUAGAUUAGAUCGAUUAGAUUUCUUUCAGAAAAUUCAAAUUUCAGAAAUAUUUAUUCAUUAUAUAUCUCUUUUACACGGAUACAAAUUUCUUUCUUUUUCUUAAAAAUUUCAAAAAGAUUCAUUCAUUUAUAGAAUAUACAUACAUGAUUCUCAAUAGACAAUUUGCCACCCUUGUCUUCAACACAUCAUCCAAUGCAUUCAUAAAUCAAGCUUUGAAUUCACGUAUAGAAGUUACGUGCAAGGAAUCUCGAAUCGAGUCAAUAUUUUACAAUAAACAAUUGCAUGUCCUCUCGAAGACGAGUCAAUAUAAUACUGCGUGGGAGGCGCAUUAUUACUAUGCACUCAGAGAUAAUGCAUGGCAACACAUGCUGAUUUUAGCGACCGAAACGUGUUUCGCUCGUGGCUUUUACUUAUAUAUAUGUAUUGCGGAUGUUUCACAAUUAGGAGACUAAAUAAAUUUCACAAUCCUUUAUAUACAACUUUGUUUUAUGGGAUAUAUAGCGUAAAAAAUUUUAGAAAAUUUUUUUAGAAAAAUAGGAAUAGUUAUACGUAAAAGUAUACGUAUUGUAUUGGCUCGUGAAUUUUUAUGUUGAAUGUGUAAUGUGAAUAUAAUUUUAAAAUGUAAUGGUGAAACUGUGUGGAAAAAUAUUUGUUUGUGAAUAAUAAAAAUUUGGAAUAAUAGAAAAAGAAUGUGUAAUUUUUAUAUGAAGAAAUUUUUUUUUAAUGUUGUGAAAUUUUUUUGAACAUGUAAAAAAAUAUUUAUUUGUGAAUCAUUUGUGAAUAAUGUGAAUAUCUUUUUCUUUUGAUAUUAUAAAAUUUUUUUUAAAUAUAUG